CAGUCAAUACACAACACCCCCAAAAUCGUAAAUAUAAACCUUGUUCCAUGCACCUUUGGUACUUUCACACCAUCCCCUGAAAAUUACAAAACCAUACUUCUCGGCCCAUUUUUACCUCCUUUUCUUUUCUUCUUCGCUGCUUUGUCUUUCUUUUCUUCUUCGCUGCUUUGUCUUUCUCUGUAUCUUUCUUUUCCCUAAACCCUAAACAACACCACAAAAUCUCAAGGGAAGAUGGUAGGAGUAGUAGUAACAGUUUUGAAGUUUCGUACCACUUUUCUAUCUUUCUUUUCCCUACCCUGUGCCUCUGUCAGCAAGUUUCUUCUAAGGAUUUCCACAAUGUCAGAUUUGGGGAACCUAUCUCUCUCCGCGGCUCUUAAACUCUCUCACUACUCCUCCGAUGAUGCUCUUGACGCUCCUGUCAAAACCCUAACCAAUGGCUUCGAUUCUGAACCUGCCUUCGAAACUUGGGUUUUGAAGCGCACCCAUGGCUCCCUGGAUCGGGUCAAUAAGCCCCCACCGCCGACAAGGCCUUUCCAAGAUCACCUCAAAGAUCCUUUUCUAGUUGGCGCUCCCUAGAUGGUAAUUAUUUUAACAAUCUUUAAUAUACUGAUUAAUGGAUUUGACAUGUAAUUAACUGUUUUUUGUUUUAACUGAUAAUGGGUUUCAUUUAAUUUUUUGUUAUGUGACUGGGUUGAGGGUGAAUGUCGUUUUUGCUGCCAUUUUAUUUACAUUGGGGAUGAUGAGCUCUUGUGUUCUGUUCGAGGAUGUGACACGCGUUACCAUUCUGAAUGUGCAAAAGAAGCUGUUGGGCCUUCGACUCUGAAAAAAUUCAAAGUGUCCACAACAUAUUUAGUGUUGCAACUAAAAGAUCAUCUUGGGCAUGCUGUUUGCUGGAGGCAUCCUUCUGAUUGGCGCUUGGAUAGGAAGGCUGGCUGACAGGAAUGCUGUAUUUGUUUGAUGAGCAGCCUGAUGCUUCGACAAGUGACAUUUCUGAAGUAUUUUGUCGAUUGCCUCUUGCAUUUAUGAGUGAGGAGUUUAAGAUUGACUUCACUUGGAAAGACAUGGACAGUAAGAUGGAGUAGUCACCAUCAUAUGUACACAUAAGAUGCAAUAUAUACUUAGUAAAGAAGAAACAUAGUGAUAUGGAUGAUGGUGCAGGGUGCACCAGUUGCAGUUCUACUUGUUACAUGUUCUGAUGAUUGUGUGUGCAGGUGUUGGUUUUGUGACAUAUGUUUGGUAGUGAAAUUUAAAUAUUUGCAUGGAAGCCUAAGAAUGUAUUAGAUCCGGGCAUACAAUGAUAGAGGCAGAAUCCCCAUCAUUUUACCUGGUGGCAAUGAGGAGUAAAGCUCUAAACUUGGUUCAUGUCCUUGAUAGUGCUGCUGCUGCUACUACAACUGCACCUGUUGUUGUCUCACCUAUGAGACUUUGGAUUCAUGUCCUUCAUGUCCUUCUCUAACAAUACAAAUUUAAGUUGUACGAGGGAAGAGGCUCUGGAUUUCGGUGCCUUGAGCGUUUCUGAUGGAGGGAAGCAGUUACUUGAUAACAUAUUGUGCAUUAAUAUGAGUUAUAGGAGAAUCGACUACUGGUCUAGUUCUCUGACCUUUCUGUAAUAACCCCUGAGAAACUUCAUGCAGAGCCUGCCAAUCGUUCAAUUUCAAGCCAACAUCUAAACUGUGUCAUAUGGCCAGGAAAUACAACAGAAAAGCCUCAUGGAUGGGUUUUCCCAAAUAACGGGAGGUAACUGAGAAUUGGAAUUCCCAACAGAGUUAGCUAUUAAGAUAUGAUCUCCCAAAUAAAUGGCACCAAUGCAAUUCAAGGAUAUUGCAUAGAUAUAUUCCUAGCUGCCUUUAAAUUGCUUCCCUAUGCAGUUCAAUACAAGUUCAUUCUGUUUGGAGAUGGAGACAAGAACCCAAGCUACUGUGAUCUUGUCAACAUGAUUACUUCUGAUGUUUUUGAUGCUGCUGUAGGUGACAUUGCGAUUGUCUCUGUCCGAACAAAGAUUGUGGAUUUUACUCGACCAUAUAUAGAGUCGGGGCUAGUUGUGGUUGCUCCAGUAAAAAAAAUUGAAGUCAAAUGCUUGGGCUUUCUUGUGACCAUUUACUCCACAUAUGUGGGGUGUCACUGCAUUUUUUUUCCUCUUUGUUGGAGCAGUGGUGUGGAUUCUUGAACAUAGAACAAACGAUGAGUUUCGAGGGUCACUGAGGGAACAUAUAGUUACAGUUCUUUGCACACAAGUAGAGAGAGACGCAUAACAUCUGACAUUGUGGAAUCUGAAGUGAAAGGAAAAGAAAAAAAUGAUCUUUGCAUCAAACCCUAAUCCUAAAAAAGUGUACCUCAUCGGAGGUUUGCAAGUGGAGUUUCCCUACCAACCAUAUGGAUCUCAGUUUGCGUUUAUGGCUAGAGUGAUUUCCACCCUUAAUCUAGCUCAGAAAGAAGGCCAUUGUCACACGUUGCUUGAGUCUCCAAGCGGUACUGGUAAGUCCCUUUCGCUUCUUUGUUCCUCUCUCGCUUGGCAGCACCACUUAAAUCUCAACAUCACCAUCUCAAGCCUGCGUCGGAGGCAACCAUCGAUCCUCUGGCUCUGGUGGUGGAUUUGUUCCUGAGGAGGUUUCACUUUCUUCUUUUUCAGAAAUUCCCGACCAUACGCAAUUUGAGAUCAACAACAAGAAGCAGAAGAAAAAGGAAGCACCAACCAUAUAUUAUGCCUCAAGGAGAACGCACUCACAAAUUUCUCAAGUGGUUCGUGAAUUGCGGAAAACUGCAUACAGGGUGCCUAUGGCUGUGUUGGCAUGACGGAAACACUACUGCACAACUAAAAAUAUAAUUGGCAAAGAGAACAUCUAUGACGAAUGUAAACUAUUAUUGAAAGAUCAGGCAACAGGGUGUCCAGAAUUCAAAAAUGCUCAUAAAGUCAAAGGUCAUCCUUCCCUUCAGAAAGGAGGAUGCAAUGUGGUGCGUGACAGAAGAUCUUGUAAAAGUUGGACAAUUGGUAAAAGGUUGCUGUUAUUAUGGUGCUCGUUCUAUGUCAAAUGAUGCUCAAUUAGUAUUUUGUCCAUAUAACUACAUCAAUAAUCCAGUCAUUCGGGCACCAAUGGAAGUGGAUAUUAAACAAUAUGGAGGACAUUACUUGUGAUGCUGGCAGUGUGGAUAAUGAAGAUGUUUUGGAUAGUAUGUUAUGAACCUUACAGCUUUUAUUUUCACUGUCUCUAAUAAUUAUAGCUUUUAUUUUCAUUAUUACUAAUAAUGAUGCUUAACUAUAUGGUCAUACCUUUGAAAACUACAUAUGGAGCUCCAACAACUUUCCUCUAUUAAUGCUGCAAUUUACCAACCACUAUAUGAAAUGGCACAGGGCCUUACUAGUUGGAUGGAACACAAGA